rnacentral:misc_RNA from 1 species
GAUGAAGAACGCGGCGAAAUGCGAUAAGUAAUGUGAAUUGCAGAAUUCCGUGAAUCAUCGAAUCUUUGAACGCACAUUGCGCCCCCUGGUAUUCCGGGGGGCAUGCCUGUCCGAGCGUCAUUGCAACCCUCAAGCGCGGCUUGUGUGUUGGGCUUCGUCCCCCCGUGGACGUGCCCGAAAGGCAGUGGCGGCGUCCCGAAUGGUGCCCGAGCGUAUGGGAACUCUCUUCCGCUCGAACCGGCCCAUUCGGCGCUGGUCGAACCCCAAUUUUUUUUUACCGGUUGACCUCGGAUCAGGUAGGGAUACCCGCUGAACUUAAGCAUAUCAAUAAGCGGAGGA